ACGUAGGGGGCGAGCGUUGUCCGGAGUUACUGGGCGUAAAGGGCAUGUAGGCGGUCUGCUAAGUUCGGAGUGACAGUCACCAGCUUAACUGGUGAAGGACUUUGAAAACUGGCGGACUUGAGAGCGAAAGAGGGACACGGAAUUCCGGGUGGAGUGGUGAAAUGCGUAGAGAUCCGGAGGAACACCAAAGGCGAAGGCAGUGUCCUGGCUCGUUUCUGACGCUCAGGCACGAAAGCUGGGGGAGCAAACAGGA
rnacentral:rRNA from 1 species